CUGGGAACUGCAUUCAAAACUGACAAGCUAGAGUAUGGUAGAGGGUGGUGGAAUUUCCUGGGUAGCGGUGAAAUGCGUAGAUAUAGGAAGGAACACCAGUGGCGAAGGCGACCACCUGGACGGAUACUGACACUGAGGUGCGAAAGCGUGGGGAGCAAACAGAAUUAGAUACCCUGGUAGUCCACGCCGUAAACGAUGUCAACUAGCCGUUGGGAGCCUUGAGCUCUUA
rnacentral:rRNA from 1 species